GGGAAUUCCUUUCGUGGUGUUGUUAGUGAUCCCAGGGCUUCUUUACGGGAAAACAUUGAUGGGUUUAGCAAGAGAAAGCAUGGAGGGAUACCAGAAGGCCGGAUCAGUAGCAGAGCAAGCUAUUUCAUCCAUCAGAACCGUGUACGCCUUCGUCGGAGAAGACAAGACCAUAACGGAAUAUUCAUCGGCGUUAGAAAGAUCGGUUAUAUUGGGGAUCAAAC
rnacentral:misc_RNA from 1 species